rnacentral:rRNA from 1 species
GUCGACGAGAAUCUAUGGAUCGAGGAUUCGUCCAAGUGAAGUAGAGGACAGUGGCGGACGGGUGAGUAACGCGUGAGGAACCUGCCUUUCAGAGGGGGACAACAGUUGGAAACGACUGCUAAUACCGCAUAACACAUAGAGAUCGCAUGGUUUUUAUGUCAAAGAUUUAUCGCUGAAAGAUGGCCUCGCGUCUGAUUAGCUAGUUGGUGAGGUAACGGCCCACCAAGGCGACGAUCAGUAGCCGGACUGAGAGGUUGACCGGCCACAUUGGGACUGAGAUACGGCCCAGACUCCUACGGGAGGCAGCAGUGGGGAAUAUUGGGCAAUGGGCGCAAGCCUGACCCAGCAACGCCGCGUGAAGGAAGAAGGCUUUCGGGUUGUAAACUUCUUUUGUCGGGGACGAGUAGAAGACGGUACCUGGCGAAUAAGCCACGGCUAACUACGUGCCAGCAGCCGCGGUAAUACGUAGGUGGCAAGCGUUGUCCGGAUUUACUGGGUGUAAAGGGCGUGUAGCCGGGAAGGCAAGUCAGAUGUGAAAUCCACGGGCUUAACUCGUGAACUGCAUUUGAAACUGUUUUUCUUGAGUAUCGGAGAGGCAAUCGGAAUUCCUAGUGUAGCGGUGAAAUGCGUAGAUAUUAGGAGGAACACCAGUGGCGAAGGCGGAUUGCUGGACGAC